AUUGAACGCUGGCGGCAGGCCUAACACAUGCAAGUCGAGCGGGGACUUCGGUCCUAGCGGCGAACGGGUGAGUAAUGCUUGGGAAUCUGCCCAGUAGUGGGGGAUAACGUCCCGAAAGGGACGCUAAUACCGCAUACGUCCUACGGGAGAAAGAGGGGGAUCUUCGGACCUCUCGCUAUUGGAUGAGCCCAAGUCGGAUUAGCUAGUUGGUAGGGUAAUGGCCUACCAAGGCGACGAUCCGUAGCUGGUCUGAGAGGAUGAUCAGCCACACUGGAACUGAGACACGGUCCAGACUCCUACGGGAGGCAGCAGUGGGGAAUAUUGGACAAUGGGCGAAAGCCUGAUCCAGCCAUGCCGCGUGUGUGAAGAAGGCCUUCGGGUUGUAAAGCACUUUAAGCGGGGAGGAAGGUUCGCGGCCUAAUACGUCGCGGAAUUGACGUUAUCCGCAGAAUAAGCACCGGCUAACUCUGUG
rnacentral:rRNA from 1 species